rnacentral:rRNA from 1 species
UUACCUGGUUGAUCCUGCCAGUAGUCAUAUGCUUGUCUCAAAGAUUAAGCCAUGCAUGUCUCAGUGCAAGCCACAUUAAGGUGAAACCGCGAAUGGCUCAUUAAAUCAGUUAUGGUUCCUAGAUCGUACCCACGUUACUUGGAUACUGUGGUAAUUCUAGAGCUAAUACAUGCAAACAGAGUCCCGACCAGAAAUGGAAGGGACGCUUUUAUUAGAUCAAAACCAAUCGGUCGGCUCGUCCGGUCCGUUUGCCUUGGUGCUCUGAAUAACUUUGGGCUGAUCGCACGGUCUCGUACCGCGACCAUCUUUCAAAUGUCUGCCUUAUCAACUGUCGAUGGUAGGUUCUGCGCCUACCAUGGUUGUAACGGGUAACGGGGAAUCAGGUUCGAUUCCGGAGAGGGAGCCUGAGAAACGCUCCACAUCCAAGGAAGGCAGCAGGCGCGCAAAUUACCCACUCCCGGCACGGGGAGGUAGUGACGAAAAAUACGAUACGGGCUCAUCCGAGCCCCGUAAUCGGAAGAGCACACUUUAAAUCCUUUACGAGUAUCCAUUGGAGGGCAAGUCUGGUGCCAGCAGCCGCGGUAAUUCCAGCUCCAAUAGCGUAUAUUAAAGUUGUGCGGUUAAAAGCUGUAGUUGGCGUCGGUGUCCAACUGGCAUGCGUGCGGGGCGUCCUGCCGGUGGGCGCGAGCCGACUGGGGUGGCAGGCGCUCCCGGGCCKGGCUCCGGCGGUGAGCAAUCGCUGUCGGGCCGGGCUCUCGGGUCGCGCUGUAGCCCCUCGGGAGGCGGACCCCGAUCUCACCCGCCGCGGUGCUCUUAACUGAGUGUCGUGCGGGCCGGCACGUUUACUUUGAACAAAUUAACGUGCUUAACGCAGGCCUUUGUCUGCCCGAAUACUCUUGCAUGGAAUAAUGGAAUAGGACCUCGGUUCUAUUUUGUUGGUUUUCGGAAGUCGAGGUAAUGAUUAAUGGGGAUUGCCGGGGGCAUCCGUAUUGCGACGUUAGAGGUGAAAUUCUUGGAUCGUCGCAAGACGAACUGGAGCGAAAGCGUUUGCCAAGUAUGUUUUCUUUAAUCAAGAACGAAAGUUAGAGGUUCGAAGGCGAUCAGAUACCGCCCUAGUUCUAACCAUAAACUAUGCCAACUAGCGAUCCGCUGUGUGUCUUACAUGUCACGGCGGGCAGCCUCCGGGAAACCAAAGUCUUUGGGUUCCGGGGGAAGUAUGGUUGCAAAGCUGAAACUUAAAGGAAUUGACGGAAGGGCACCACCAGGCGUGGAGCCUGCGGCUUAAUUUGACUCAACGCGGGGAACCUCAUCAGGCCAGGACACCGGAAGGAUUGACAGAUUGAGAGCUCUUUCUUGAUUCGGUGGGUGGUGGUGCAUGGCCGUUCUUAGUUCGUGGAGUGAUUUGUCUGCUUAAUUGCGAUAACGAACGAGAUCCUACCCUACUAACUAGUCGAAACCUGCAUCCCCUGUGCAGCCGGCGACCACAACUCUUCUUAGAGGGACAGGCGGCUUCCAGCCGCAGGAAGUGGGGCAAUAACAGGUCUGUAAUGCCCUUAGAUGUUCUGGGCAGCACGCGCGCUACACUGAAGGCAUCAACGUGUGUUUUCCUUGCUCGAGAGGGCCGGGUAACCCGUUGAAACUCCUUCGUGCUAGGGAUUGGGGCUUGCAAUUUUUCCCCACCAACGAGGAAUGCCUAGUAAGCGGAAAUCAUAACUUUCUGCUGAUUAAGUCCCUGCCCUUUGUACACACCGCCCGUCGCUACUACCGAUUGAAUAUUUUAGUGAGGUCUUCGGACCAGCCCGCGGACCCUUCUCAGGGGCCGUAGAGCCGGGAAGAUGACCGAACUUGAAUAUUUAGAGGAAGUAAAAGUCGUAACAAGGUUUCCGUAGGUGAACCUGCG